rnacentral:rRNA from 1 species
AGCGAACGCUGGCGGCAGGCUUAACACAUGCAAGUCGAACGCCCCGCAAGGGGAGUGGCAGACGGGUGAGUAACACGUGGGAACGUACCCUUUGGCUCGGAAUAACUUGGGGAAACUCAAGCUAAUACCGGAUAAGCCCUUAUGGGGAAAGGUUUACUGCCGAAGGAUCGGCCCGCGUCGGAUUAGCUAGUUUGUGAGGUAAUGGCUCACCAAGGCGACGAUCAGUAGCUGGUCUGAGAGGAUGAUAAGCCACACUGGGACUGAGACACGGCCAAGACUCCUACGGGAGGCAGCAGUGGGGAAUAUUGGACAAUGGGGGCAACCCUGAUCCAGCCAUGCCGCGUGAGUGAUGAAGGCCUUAGGGUUGUAAAGCUCUUUUACCCGGGACGAUAAUGACUGUACCCGGAGAAGAAGCCCCGGCUAACUUCGUGCCAGCAGCCGCGGUAA